CAGAUGAGACUGAUGGGGUCGGAGAAGCUGCUCACAAUCAUUUUUCCUCCUUCGGGCUGAAACUGCGAGCAGAAGACAGAUGGAGCAGGAGGUUAAUGUGGGUGGAAAAGAAGAAGUCCUCUGUUUUGAAAUAUGUCGAAACCCCCGUCAGUCCCUGUGAUUAGCAUUAGAUUACAGGUGCCAACCACAUGAUUGAUCUCCACCUGUGCAGUCUGGUCAUGCUGCCCAUUGAUCCUCUCUGAUGUUGAGCUGGCCAAUCAACAUUCAGAACGUUCACCCUCCCAUCAGCCCACGAGCAGAGAGAGAACUGGGUCACCUCCACUUUCUUUCUCCUGUGGACAACAGCAGACUGUGGAGCCCCUCAAUAGUUCGCAGACGUUAGCUGCAAACACUAGCGGCCCAGUGCUGUAGAUCGAUAUGUCAGUAAAUCAUGAGGUAAAAAGGAACUGCCGAACAUCAUACUUCUGUCUCUCUGUAUUCUCAACAAUCUGCCUUUUGAAAUUCAGUUGCAGCGACUCUCUCCACUCGAAGGCUCUGGUCAUACGCUGCUCCUUUCUCUUUGACCCUUUGAUGCUGCACUGCAUUGUCUGCGCACGCUUGCGAAGAAUAAUAGAAAUAGGUCUGCGGUGGGAGGUGGAGCAGGCACCCCGGGGUGGGCUUCUGCACCUCCCUCAGAGUCUGCAUGGGCAGGAUCUGAACGACGUUAACGAUCAUACGAGGAACCUGGAGCACAACGAGGAGAGGACGCCCUCGCUGUAGCAUGAAUGCCAGCACUGUACUACUGAAACCUCACUAAUUCAGACAUGGAGAAAACAGACGGACCUUAUCUUUGCAGUAAUCACAGAUGUCGUUCAUGCCCAUGAGGAUGGUCAAAAGCUUCCAGUCCUCCUCGAAGUUCAGACCCUAAUGGAAGGACAACAGAUUUGGUCCAU